rnacentral:rRNA from 1 species
UACGUAGGGUGCAAGCGUUGUUCGGAUUUACUGGGCGUAAAGGGCGCGUAGGCGGCAUGACAAGUCACUUGUGAAAUCUCUGAGCUUAACUCAGAACGGCCAAGUGAUACUGUCGGACUAGAGUACAGAAGGGGCAACUGGAAUUCUCGGUGUAGCGGUGAAAUGCGCAGAUAUCAGGAGGAACACCGGUGGCGAAGGCGGGUCUCUGGGCCGUAACUGACGCUGAGGAGCGAAAGCAUGGGGGAGCGAACAGG